AAUAAAUCUGGGAGGGUAUGAAAACACAGAGUGGCCGUGGAGGCGUUUCCAGUGUGGCUAUGGAGACACACAGCUCCCAUUCAUCACGACUGUUUGCAUCUGUCUAGCCUGACCUGUUGGCAGAAUGCGGCUGUUGCAUUUCUUGUCCUGCGCUGUUAAACUCGGUGCUACGCCAUGUGAUCUUGCUGAUGUCUGACGGCACUCCUGGAUCAGCAGCUCUUGCUACAUUGUUCUGCAAGUACAAAACUUCAACUAAUGGGCAUUAGGAACUCAUGGACAGACUCCACCUCACACGCUUUUGGCAGAGAAGGUGCUUAAGAAUCAUGCUGACCCUGUGGUGGGCCUUCAUAGAACUUCGAGGAGCUGGUGUGACUUGGAUGGCAGCUGUUCUGGUGCUGCUCUGCUGUAUGAGAAAUCCUGUCUUGUGAGAAGGAGAUGUCAGAGCUGCCUUUGGCACGAAGCUGCUGGGUGUCCAGGGUUGAAGAAAGCGUGUACUCGUGUUCCCCAGAAGCUGUCUCACUGCUCACAACACACUCACUGAGUCCUGGCUGGGAGAUGCCUAUGACAGUUGGCCUUAAGGGAGGAAGGGGCAGUGGAGGACCCUCUUACCAAUAAAGCUGGU